UAAUGUUUAAUGAUUAAACAUCUGGGGUUUUAACUAUUUUAAGAGAUAUGAAAAAAAUGGUUUAUAGUUUUUUUGAACAACUAAAAUUAUUCUCUUAAUUAAAGAAAAUUUAACUGUCUGAGGUGUUUCAGGUAGAUAAACUAGAGUGCAAUAUUUACUUAAGUCUUGAAUUUCAUCUUUUGUAUGUACAUGCCAAUUUUAGAGUAUUUUGUAUUAUUAUUGAUAUAUAUUAUAUGUUGAAAUUUUGUCUAUUGUAAAUUGAUAAGGAUAUAUCAUUUUCUAACAUGGUAAUGUUAAAAAUUAAACCAGAAACUUGAUUAUUAUUACAUGAGAGUGACAUAUGUGGAAUUGAUUUCUCCAUGUAAUUGUGUAAACCCCAUUUUAAUUACAAAACUACUUUGGAGUGGUAAAAAUGGCUGUUUGGUGUGCAAAACUUUUAAAACUAUAGUUUAAAUGACAGUUUUACCCAUUUAUUAUCAAAAUAUUAUUUUUUAUUUAGAAUUCACAAAGUCAGGUGACUUUUUUUUUUAAAUUCACUUGUUAACUGGAAAAAAGUAAAAUCGUUAAUUUGAUAGACAAGAAUAGAACAUGUAAAUAUAUAUAUACAUAAAUGCACCAAUCAAUUAUCCACAUUUUAUUAACGUUUAGGUCACAUAACAAUAGUUUUUAUUUUAAUAGCUAAUAGGCUUUUUUUUUUAAUCAGUCACAAUCUACCACUUUGUAUUUUUACACUUUUACAUGUAUUCCAAUAAGAUUUUAGAUUGGUCGAAAUAUGAUUUACUUGAGUCUGAUACACUUUAUACUUUAUUCAAUAGUUGAGAGAUGCUAGUCAUAUACCUGAGAUGCAAUAUUAUAUAUAUAGUACAACAAGUAUUAUAAUAGUGGCAUUCAAUGCAAUUUGUUUAUAGAAAUGCUUUUAUUAGUCAGUAGUUUUAACUUAAGCAUUGUUUAAUUGUAUUUGAUGAUUUAGCUAACUGCAAUAAUGACUUUGUUUCUUACUUUAAUAUACCUACAUGUACAUAACCAUUGGAAUUAUUUUUUUAAUAAAUUGGAUUUUUGUCUUUUUUAAAUCUGUACAAAUAUAAAGAAAUUCUGAGGCUGAUUAGAAGUAGGAUUAUCUUUAACUCAAGGGCGUUUAAAAUGUCAAGAAGGAAAACAUUUGGAAGGAAUGAAGGGAAUUGAUGUAACCUUCAUGUAUUUGUAUGUUAUUUUUGCCAAAUGAACAACUAGCAUAUAUUAUUGGUAAGGUGCUAGUUAAAGCCCUCCUGUGGGUGUGAAUUUUCUUCCUGUGUUGAAGACACAUUGAUGGCCUUUGAUUUGUUUCUUCUCUUUGAUCUGCUUGUUGCCUAUUUAGAAAAUUUCAUGUUUCCAUGUUCCAGAUGUUCUAAUAGGAUAUUAUAAGUAAUUUCAAAAGUGCUACUUUAAAAUAAAAAAGUAUUUGGACUUAUCAUCAGAAAAAAUUUGUGACAAUUUAUUACAUUACAUUGACAGCAUUAGUGUAUAUCAUCUGACAUGAAUUCUGAUAAAUGUGGGGUUAUCAGGCACGGUCGCAUUUUUUGGCGAAACAUCACAAUAAAACUUUCUGAAGAAAGCAAUAAAAUUUGACAUUACAGUUGAAUUUUGACCAAUGAAGAACCAAGAUGAAUCUUAAAUUGGUAAAAUAAAUAAACAACAUGUAGAGAAAAGAAUAAAUUUGACUAAGAAUUAGAGAAAAUUAUGUACUUGAUUAUCUCCCAUACUAAAUUUAAAAAAAACCUUAAGGAAUAAGAUGCAUUUUAUUUCAAGUCAUUAUUGCAGUUAUCUACAUGUAUUUUUAUGUUUCAUAUAUAUGGUAUGUAAUGUUGAAUUAAGGGAGGUUGUUUGACUUUUGCCAAAUGUUUUGUUGUAACUAAAUAUGUACAGAGUCUCUAUAUUUUGAAAAUUAUCAUUAUCAUCUGUACAAAUUCAUCUAAAUGACUUGUAUAAUUAAUGUAUCUGUGAUUUUAUAGAUAAUAGUUUUUCGUAUACCCUAUUAUCAGAUUCCUGUUUAUUCCUAUUAUCUUUCAGUAUGUGAGACAUUAUCAAUCCAUAUACCACACGAUUUUUGUUUGAAGACAAAACAAAAAAAAACCUUGUACAAUUGAUCAACUUCAGUUGAAGAAAACAGACUCCUAUUUAGUCCAUUUCAUGUAUAAGGGAGAUUUUUUUUUAAAUCACUGUUGCUAUAAACAAAACGAUUUGCUAGUCAAUUUGAAAUGCUGAUAAGUCGGAAAGAUUUUUCUAUUCCUUUUAUAAGAUUAUAUGUCAGUUGUUAAUCUCUGAUGUAGAUGACUUUAACUUAAGAUUUUUUAAGUCUAUAUUUUGCAUUCUUGAAGUAUUUUAUUUGUUUAAAAUAUUAUUUUGUAUAUAUUUUAUUUACAAUUUCUGUGAUAAUGAUCUGAAAUCCUUUUAUACAUGUACACCAAUUUUAUGUUUCUCCACAACUGAAUUAAAGUUAAAUGUUUUCCCAAAUGAUAUAAAAGAUGACACAUCUUUCUCAUGAAAACACUUGUUAAUGGUAUAGGCAUGUAUUUCAAACACUAAACUUUUUAUCCUGUUUUUAUUUAAGGGCAUACGAUACAGUUACAGGACAGGUUAUGACGUUGCUAAGGUAAUUUGUUAUUUUCGCGACGUCAAACUGUGACAUAUCGGGAAAAGAUGCAUUUUUCGACUGAUUUUUAUCAUUCAAACUGAUUUAAUUUGAAAACGAGUUCAUGGACCCCUAUUUUUAUUUAAGGGCAUACGAUACAGUUACAGGACAGGUUAUGACGUUGCUAAGGUAAUUUGUUAUUUUCGCGACGUCAAACUGUGACAUAUCGGGAAAAGAUGCAUUUUUCGACUGAUUUUUAUCAUUCAAACUGAUUUAAUUUGAAAACGAAUUCAUGGACCCCUAUUUUUCAAAAUGGCAUUUGGUUUCAUUUUGCAGGGAGAUUAUGUGACCCAAAUUUUAUAAAACUGUAAAUAGAGGAUUUUUUUAAUUGUGAUAAACAUGCAAUAAAAAAUUACGUUUUUUUCCUCAAUUCAUGAACAUUUGAUAAAUAUGAGUCAUUUCUGAAUAAAAAAAAAUGCACAUUUUUUAAAGAUAUUUAUAAAAUACAGAAAUUACUGAUUAUUUAACAAAAAACAAUUUGUUUUUAUCUUUUAUAACAAAAAAGUUAUGUCUUUCUUUCGAAAAAGAAAUUACGGCCACAAAUCUGAAUUUCGAGCAAAUAUAAAAAAUUUCGACCUCAUUUUACGCAAAAAGUAGCACAUGAAGGUAUAUUUUUUAUUACAUAUUUGAUUUAAUCAGGUAAAAAAUAGCCAGUAUGCAAAUUUUCAUGAACUUGUAAAUACAGGAUCAAAACUGUAUUGUAUGCCCUUAAUUGAAUUAUACUGGAUUUAUUAUAUUUUAUUGAUUUGUUUUAUCUAGAUUUAAAAUUAUCAAGAUAGGCUUAUUAAAUCCUGUUAAAGUAGUAUUGUCUUCUGAAUGGAUUGGUCCAAGUAGAUUCAUCAAUAUCUUACAACAUGAUUGAAGUCAUCAAUUUCAUUAUAAAUACAUUAUUUAUGUGCAAUAUAACUAAUUGAUUGUGCCAUUAAAUUAUUAUAGGUCAGAUUUUGAAAUUCAAGCCUAUAAGUGUUUCUGAUUGAGCUAAUGGUGAACUUUUUCAUGCUAAGGAUUAAUUGGAAAAUAGAAUUCUUCAACAUUCACAUCAAAAAGGUUCUUAGGAUUAUGUAUGUUCUUUUACAUUCAUACACCAACAUUUUUAGACUACCUUUUUUUCAUUUUUACAUUGUGAAUAUUUUUUAAAAGAUGUAUUUUAUAUUUGAAAAUGAUCUCAAAUUUAGGUUAAGCUAAUAUUAAACAUUUAUGUUUUAAAAGCUAAAAUUUGUUAUUAUUUUCAUAUAUGUACAUUGUAAAUUUACAGUUUUAAGAAAACAUUUUUUUUGGUCAACAUAUUCUACAUUCAGAAAGGGUUGAUUUUCAUUAAUAUUUUUUUUCUUCAAUGAUGAAAAUUGUAAUACAAUAAAACUACUUAUACUUGAUUAAUAAUUUUGAACACUAUGCCUUUUUACCCCAAAAAAAAUUACCAUUUUAAAAAUUGGAUAAUGAUUUAAGGUUUUUUUGUAAUGGCACACUAAAUGAAUGAAAGAAAAAUAGCUUACCAUAUUUGCAUGGAAAGAAAUCUCUCUAUAUAUAAAAUCACUACAAUCCUCACAAACUUGUCACAUUUGGCAGAUCUUAAUUUGCAAUUCUGCAAUGAAUAUAGAUGUUUAUAGAAGCUACUGAUAAAGUUUUGAAUAAAUUGGUAUCAAGUGUCAAUUUCUGUCUUGUCAUUAUUACGAAAUUUUAAUUUGGAAAAUCAAUAUAAUUCAGAUGGAUUUAAAUGUUGAUAGCAUGUGUCAUGUAUUUGUAAGCUUAAAAUAUGCCACAGUAUGCAGGUUGUUUCUAAGAUGACUUUUUGUCUCAAUCAUUCAUAUUUUUAUUUUCCAGAAACAGUCCAAAUCACUACAUUCCAUCAAUUUCAAUCAACUUUGCAGAACUUACUUAAUUGAUUUAUUGUUGAUAAUUUAUACUUUUUAUUAUAUUUUUUUCUUUCUUAAACAUUCCACGGAGCACAUUGAAGGUCAAAAAAGCUAUUUCAAUACUUUUAUAAAAACAUUCCAAUCAAAAUGUAUUUUACCAUAAUUUAUCUACUUAAGUUGCUUUAAAAAAAAAUUCUGCUUAGCUUACAUUUGUUACAGUUCUACUUAUACAUAUGUAUGUGUUAAAAUUAAAACAAAAUGUGAAAAGUUGAUUUCAAAACAUGUUUUUUAUUGCAUUUUAUAUAUUUUUUUGCAUUUCUGAUCAAACAUCUUUACUGAUAUUUAAUAAGAUCUGACAAUUCAUAUUUUUCUAUUGUUAUAGUAUAUUUUCUUAAUAUGAUAAUUGACUUAAGGUUUGAAAACUAUAACUGAGAUCUAAAUAAAAUAGUGUUCAUAUGUUUGAAUCUCUAUCCAAUCAAAAGUAUCUUCUUUUGGAAAAUAUGAUUAACCAAUUUUGCAUUAUUAAAAUUCCUUUACAAUAGUUAUCAAAGGUACCAGAAUAAUGAUUUGGUGCAAGUGUUUAAUUGCUACUUAAUUAUUGAUUUAUCCCCCUCAACUACUUCAUGCAAAAGGUUAAUGUUGUUACAAAACAUUGUAUAUGAAAUCUGUAUUUAAAACAACUGCUGUAUAUUCAGAAAUUAUUGCAUUCAAUAAUGGACAAAAAUGUGAGUUUAAUUAUUGCAAUUCUUGUGUUUUUGAAAAGAAUCUUCCUGCAGGUAUAUGUUUCAGUUAUCAGAAUCAGUUGUAUUGCAAAACUCAUGCAGUUGCAUUAAUUGUAUUUAUAAAAAUCUCUCAAAAUUUUCUGAAAUUACAAUAGUUAACAGUUUACUGAAGUAAGUAAACAUUGAACCAAACUGACUCUCUUAACUAAGAAUUUGCUGUUUACAGAAAAAACAUGUAUCUGAUAAGAGUAAGUGUUUUACAAAGAAGUGGGUCUGCAUCUCAUAUAAAAAGAGAUAAUGGUAUUAAAAAAUAUACAUGCAUUAUCUUUCCAUUAAAAAGUUAAAUUAGUAUUUAUUUUUCACAACUUAUGAAAAUAGUUAAAAGAUUUUAAAGACAGCAUAUUGGAUCAAACUACUGUAGUUUUAUUCAGUCAUAAGUUGUCAUAGUUUUAAAUUGAGAUUUCCUAAAAACAAACAAGUGUAUGUCUGAAUAUUGAUUUUUAGAAUAUACCCUAAAGAUCUGCACAUUUUUAUAUACUAUUCUUAUCUUGUAUAUUCUAUUACUGGCAUUUAUACCUAUAACUUUCAGAACAAUAGAAGUCUCCUUGAACACUGAAAAGUCUAAUAUACCAUACCAAUAAAACAGUAGAUGUCUUCUAAGGCACAUUAACAAGUCUCCUAUACCCUACCACAAGGAACAAUAUAUGUCUCCUAAUAAAUGCUACCAAUUCUUAUAUACCAUACCACAUACAAAUGUAAAUGUCUUUAAGUACAUAAAUAAGUCUCAAGAACCAUACCACAUAGAACAAGUAGAAAUCUCCGCCUAAAACCUAACAAGUCUCAUACAUAUAUACCAUACCACAAGAACAGUUGAUGUGUCCUUAUAGACAAUAACUAGUCUCAUGCAUCAUACCACAUUUAUCUAUAUUUCUAUAGAUGCUUAGAGUAGAAAAGGAAAUGUUCAACUAGGAUGGAACAUAUAUCUUGCCGUACUGGAUACUGAUAUCAUACGCAAGACUUUAUAAUAACUAUUCUAAUUUUAUUAACAAACUAAUAUACUAAAACACUAUUGUAUACACAGUAUACUAAAAUCAUAUUCACAAUCAUUUCUACAUCUUUUAUACUAAAUACAUAUGAAAAUAAUAAUAAAUGUAUCAUUUGGCCUUCUAGGGGGCUACUAGUUAAAACUUACAAUAAAAAUAAAAAUAACCAUAUGAAAAACACUACCUACUCAAAACAAUUUUUAAAUUAAUAAAAAGUAAAUUGUCUAAAUUAUGCAAUUUAAGAACCUGCAGUAGAGCCCUGACAGGUGAAAAAUUAAUUUAAGAAACCUGACUGGUAGAGCCCAAACAGGUAUAAAUUUGAAAAAUGAGAAUGUCUGCGGUAGAUCCCAGCAGGUACUUUUAGAACCUGAGUGGUAGAGCCCACACAAGUAUGAAUUUUGAAACCUGAGAAUUCCUGCGGUAGAUCCCAACAGGUACUUUUAGAACCUGAGUGGUAGAGCCCAGACAAGUAUGAAUUUUGAAAACAGAAUUCCUGCGGUAUAUCCCAACAGGUACUAUUAGAACCUGACUGGUAGAGCCCAGACAAGUAUAUAUUUGAAAAAUGAGAAUUCCUGCGGUAGAUUCCAACAGGUACAAAAAAAUAACCUAAUUAUCACCCUUAAAUAAAAAAAAGCAUAAAUAAAUAAUAAAAUGUAUUAAUGAAUUGGGGGAAAAUAAUUUCCCUGAAAUUAAGUAGGCCAAAUUAAAUGACAGAACAACACACACAACAUAAAACUAAAACAAACAAAAAACAAAUAUGUUCUGAGUAGCCCCUGUUUAAAUAAACAUGUAAAAUAAUUAACACUAAAAUAAGACUAUUAAAUUCUUAAAGGUGCAGCUGGGGAUUCGGUGGGUGGGCUGAAUAAAUUAUCCACAAGUAAAAAUAUGACUGAUAACAGUGCAAUGCUCAAACGACAACUGACCAUCCUAUCAAAAUUAUAUACAGAUGAUUCUCUGACAUGUCUGAUAACACCUAUGCUGUCAUCAAGCUGUUUCCCAUCUACGAUAUAAUACCUAACCCUUAAUCUCUAAUUAAAACAGAACUGACAAGCUGACAAGCUAACAGCUGACCUUAACAUUAAUGAAAAGAAACCAGCGGAAGUUUAAUCAUGGGAAUUUAUCAAAAUAUGUAUAAACUAUAAUUUAAUUUUAUUUAAAUUACCAUAUCUCUUUUACACUUUCAAGAUUACUUAUUAGAAAAGUCCAGACAUACUAUAACUUAUUUGACCAAUUAUACAUACAUAUAAUGUAUUUGCAUGGGUGUGGGGAAAUUAUUGACAUUUGGUUAUCUCCCUUUCAUCAGAAAAAUCAAUAAGUAUGUCUGAUAGGUCUGAAUAAUGGGUGAUUAACAUAGAAAGCUCAGUCAUCUCUACACAUGUCUAUCAAAAUUUGAAAGCCUACCUCCUACAGGAAUUAAAUCCUUGAUGUUUCUAGACUUAAUUAUAUAUAUGUUUAUUAUACUGUUCCCAUCAAAUGUAUUUACCAAUAUUGUUUCAAGGAUAUUAUUUGUGUCUCCUAGUAUUAGAUAUUUAUAAUUUUCCAUAUUAUUAGACUAAUGAUCUAUUAUUUAAUGACUAUAUAUGAUCAUGUAUUAUAUUAUGAUUUAUUGUUAUAAUUCAGAUUUUAUGUGAUGUUAUUGUUGAUUAAUGGAAUAAAAAUAUCUGUGAUUGA